ensembl:lncRNA
GCAACCUCUCUGUUUUCUGGGAAGUUUAAAUGUGUCAGCAAGGUAAUGUAGAUGUUAUAUUGGUUAUAUAGUGUAUGUUAUGUAAAUAAAUCUAAACCUUUAUAAACUUAAAAAUAUUCCACAGAUGUUGUUUCCGGCUGAGGACAUUUGGUUGUGCCCACUGAACUCUGGUGCACACUGGAUCCUUGUGGUUGUCAAAAUCUCCUCACAAUCUGUACUGCUGUUAGACCCUCUUGGAAAUGAAGGUUGUUAUGAAAGGAAAGUUAUGCGUAACUGGAGUCUUUGCAGGUCCCGGAGUGGAUGAGCUGACGGCUGCUGAUUGGUCCCCUGGCCAUGUGAUCUUCUUCAAAUCCCUCACCAGCAGUUGUCCC